rnacentral:tRNA from 2 species
GCUCGGAUGGUGGAAUCGGUAGACACUAGGGACUUAAAAUCCCUUGGGAGCAAUCCCGUGUGGGUUCGAGUCCCACUCCGAGCA